UUGGCUGGCCCAGCCCUCCAGGAAAAUAGAACUCAUACCCUCAUUUGGGGGUCCUUAAGCCUUUGGUGUGCCCUGACCCCGGCCCUUUCAUAUUCCCGGCCUCUUGUUUCUUGUGCCAGAACUGGGUGGGAACCGUGUCAGGAAUCGUCCUGAACGCGGCAGAUAACCCAGCAGCGACGUUCAUUCCAACUCAGAUUUGCUCCUGCUCACUGUACAGAUGACGACACUGAGGCCAGGUCCGAAGGGACUUCCCCCAGCUUGGACAUCUCGGGAUAGAGUCCAGCUUUGUUGUCAACAUCAGUGAUCUGGUUCCAGACAUGUCCACGGUCUCCACUGUGCACCUAACUGCCACAUCCAGCAGUUCCAGCUCCUGGGAGCUUUCUGGGGUGAUAGCCUGGGUUCGGAACUGCAUCUGUGUUCUCAUUCCGACGUCUACAACAGCUAUGCAUGAAUGUUUUAUUUGAGGACCCAAAGAGAUCACUCAUGGGGUACAGUGCUGAGUUCCAUCUCUGGAACCGUAUAAAGGUGGAUUGAGAGACUCAAUGCCUCAGAGUUCUGCUUUGAUAACCACACACGCAUCACCGUGUGUUAGCCCCGCCCCCACACUCAUAAUUUUUAAAUUUUAAUAAUCUAAGUAAUACAUAGCACACAAAGUGGGACUGCAUCUUACUUGAAAUUCUUUCUUUCAAUAUAUGUUUUUGAAGAAGUAGACAGAGGGGUUGAUGAGAUGUAAAGGCAGUUGUGGCCAAGCCUGAAGACCUGAAUUUGACACCUGGAACCCUUAAAGUAGGAGGAGAGAACUGGCACCCAGAGUCAUCACCUGGCCUCCAUGUGUGCUCCAUAGUAUGUGCACCCACCCAUGUACACACACCCACAAAUAUAUGCAUUUUUAAACUAAAAAUAGCACCACAAGAAGACCUACUGUGUCAACUCACCUGGACCCAGGAGAACUCUCAGACACUGAACCACCAACCAAAGAGCACGCACAGGCUGGACCUACACAGUUGCCACUGGAGCCCCUUCCCCUAGCUGGGCUGCCUGGUUGGGCCUCAGGAGAGGAUGCGCUUAGCCUGCUGGGACUAGAUGUCCCAGAGUAGGCUGGUACCCAAGGGAGCAUCUCCUUCUCUUGAGAAGGGGAAGGAUAAUGGGGCAAGGAAUUUGUAAGGGCAGAACUAGGAGGAAGGGAGGGAGGGGCUGCAGUUGGGAUGUAAAU